rnacentral:rRNA from 1 species
GCACAAGCGGUGGAGUAUGUGGUUUAAUUCGAUGCAACGCGAAGAACCUUACCUGGUCUUGACAUCCCGGAGACCCUUAGGAAACUAGGGGUGCUUCCAUCUGGAAGAAUCUGGAGACAGGUGCUGCAUGGCUGUCGUCAGCUCGUGUCGUGAGAUGUUGGGUUAAGUCCCGCAACGAGCGCAACCCUUGCCUUUAGUUGCCAGCAGUUCGGCUGGGCACUCUAAAGGGACUGCCGGUGUUAAACCGGAGGAAGGUGGGGAUGACGUCAAGUCCUCAUGGCCUUUAUGACCAGGGCUACACACGUACUACAAUGGCCGAUACAAAGGGCAGCGACACUGCGAGGUGAAGCCAAUCCCGUAAAAUCGGUCUCAGUCCGGAUUGGAGUCUGCAACUCGACUCCAUGAAGUUGGAAUCGCUAAUAAUCGUGGAUCAGCAUGCCACGGUGAAUACGUUCCCGGGCCUU